rnacentral:rRNA from 1 species
GACGAACGCUGGCGGCGUGCUUAACACAUGCAAGUCGAGCGAUGAAGUUCCUUCGGGAACGGAUUAGCGGCGGACGGGUGAGUAACACGUGGGUAACCUGCCUCAUAGAGGGGAAUAGCCUUCCGAAAGGCAGAUUAAUACCGCAUAAGAUUGUAGUACCGCAUGGUACAGCAAUUAAAGGAGCAAUCCGCUAUGAGAUGGACCCGCGUCGCAUUAGCUAGUUGGUGAGGUAACGGCUCACCAAGGCGACGAUGCGUAGCCGACCUGAGAGGGUGAUCGGCCACAUUGGGACUGAGACACGGCCCAGACUCCUACGGGAGGCAGCAGUGGGGAAUAUUGCACAAUGGGGGAAACCCUAAUGCAGCAACGCCGCGUGAGUGAUGACGGUCUUCGGAUUGUAAAACUCUGUCUUCAGAGACGAUAAUGACGGUACCUGAGGAGGAAGCCACGGCUAACUACGUGCCAGCCGCCGCCGUAAAAC